GGUAAUACGGAGGGUGCAAGCGUUAAUCGGAAUUACUGGGCGUAAAGCGCACGCAGGCGGUCUGUUAAGUCAGAUGUGAAAUCCCCGGGCUUAACCUGGGAACUGCAUUUGAAACUGGCAGGCUUGAGUCUUGUAGAGGGGGGUAGAAUUCCAGGUGUAGCGGUGAAAUGCGUAGAGAUCUGGAGGAAUACCGGUGGCGAAGGCGGCCCCCUGGACAAAGACUGACGCUCAGGUGCGAAAGCGUGGGGAGCAAACAGGAUU
rnacentral:rRNA from 1 species